UGGUUUGAAUGGUAAAAAUACAAUAUGUCAAUUAAUUAAAAAAUAGGUGGUAUAAAAAUAAUCCAAGUUUUAGUUCCUAAACUUUUAUAUGUAUUUAUAUAUUUACAUAUUUAUAAUAUAAUGGCAAUUUAAGAUUACGUAAUUAAUGUGCUAAAAUAAUACCUAAAGAACUAAGUACACUUUAGUUAGAUUGAAAUUUAUCAAUUACAUAAAAAAAUUUAAUACCUAGUUGAAAAAUCAAUGUUUUAAAAGUUAACAUAAUUUAUACUAGUCACGUCAAAGUUUAUUUUUAACGACAUAUCUUGAAGAAUGUAUGCAAUAAUAGGUUACCUUAUAUUUUAUUCAACUCGUGCAAUAAACGGGUUUUUUAAAGACAAGAUUUUUUUAUUACUAAGUAUAUAACAUUACAUUUAUUCAACCCGUGUAAUACACCGGAUUCUAACCUAGUAUUUAAUAAUAGCAAAAAGACAGCUACCCAAACUGUACCUGCACAGGCAAUCCAACUCCAAGUCUGGUUUUGAUAUCAAGUAUUAUACUUGGGUUCCCAUCCCAAUUCAUCUCUAAUUCCAUAGUUAUUCCUUCAUCUCCACCUUCAAUUAUAGAAACUCCUAAAAACAUAACCAAUUAGAACUCAAGAAUAUGUAAAAUCAUCUUAAAAUAGAAUAUCAUGCUACCUAGCCACUAUAACCAGUGAAUUGAAAUAAAAGAUUUAAAAAUUAUGAAUAGGCAACCGGUGAAAACAUCAUUUAGCCUAACCUGUAAAUUGUGGCGCGACCGUGCCUAGGGUAAACUUGGAAAACGACAGAGAAGACAAUACCAGUGGUCUAUAUUGCUCAAGAAUUGGCUCCACGUUAGCCUUUAUAAGCUCAGAUGCUGCCUAUAGGAGGACAAUACAAAAUCACAUAAUAGCAGAAUUCCAAAAUAGUCGGUUUUCAAAAGAAAUUUACACUAAAAGUAGCAUCCAAACACUAAAGUCACCAUGUUUCAAGUUUCAACACAUGAAUACUCAAGAUUACUUUCAAAAUUUACAUCCAAAUUAGACAGCCACUACACAGCAAUAAAUGGAUGCAACAAACCUUAUUACCAUAGGGUAGAGUAAAAUUACUUAGAUGCCAUGAUUUUACCCUUAGUUUAUAAAAUUUCAUCCUCAAACUAUCAAAAAUUACCAAACACUCAACACCAUUGUGAGAGUACAACAACUUCGAGCAGUGGAACCACAUAACAGGACACAAACCCGACAUGAAAUAAACACAUUAGGGAUGGGGCUCAAGUGCUCAACAGGUUUCGGACGUAAACAGGUCCGUACAGGGUUGACCUGGUCAACCUAUACAAAAUUAGGAUUAAAGAACUGAUAUAAUAUAUACCCACUAACCCCAAAAACAACACCAAUUGGCAGC
rnacentral:lncRNA from 1 species